ensembl:lncRNA
ACUACUGUUGAUCAGGGCCCUAUUCCCUAUAUAGUACACUACUGUUGACCAGGGCCCUAUUCCCUAUAUAGUACACUAAUUUUGAUCAGAGGCCUAUUCCCUAUAUAGUGCACUAAUUUUGAUCAGAGGCCUGUGAGGAAUAGGGGGCCAAUUGGGACGCAGACUGUAUGUGAAACUGAUCAGUUUUUAAAUGUUUCUGCGGUUCUUAUUGGUUGUCUGAUUCUCUGACCAUGUCUGUGGUUGUUAUGGUUACCGUCUGAUCCAGUUCAUACAGACUGUUUUGGUUGUUGUUUCUUUGUUCUGUUUAUCUCUCUCUCUUUUUGUGGUUUAACUGUCUGUGGUCAGGUUCUGGCCAAUCAGAUGGGUCCGUGGUCAGGUUCUGGCCAAUCAGAUGGGUCAGGUUCUGGCCAAUCAGAUGGGUCAGGUUCUGGCCAAUCAGAUGGGUCAGGUUCUGGCCAAUCAGAUGGGUCCGGGGUCAGGUUCUGGCCAAUCAGAUGGGUCCGGGGUCAGGUUCUGGCCAAUCAGAUGGGUCCGUGGUCAGGUUCUGGCCAAUCAGAUGGGUCCGUGGUCAGGUUCUGGCCAAUCAGAUGGGUCCGUGGUCAGGUUCUGGCCAAUCAGAUGGGUCCGUGGUCAGGUUCUGGCCAAUCAGAUGGGUCCGUGGUCAGGUUCUGGCCAAUCAGAUGGGUCCGUGGUCAGGUUCUGCCAAUCAGAUGGGUCCGUGGUCAGGUUCUGGCCAAUCAGAUGGGUCCGUGGUCAGGUUCUGGCCAAUCAGAUGGGUCCGUGGUCAGGUUCUGGCCAAUCAGAUGGGUCCGUGGUCAGGUUCUGGCCAAUCAGAUGGGUCCGUGGUCAGGUUCUGGCCAAUCAGAUGGGUCCGUGGUCAGGUUCUGGCCAAUCAGAUGGGUCUGUGGUGGUGUUGUGACUACUGCUGUCUAACUCCUCCUGGAGGACCCCUGGUGUUUCUGAUAGUUUAACUUCCGUCCGGGAUUCAAUCAAAGGCGCAUUGUGGAUUAUGAGCAAACCAAACUAGACUGUUCAAUCAAAUGUUCAGCUGACAUCCGCAGCGUUUACCAUGACAACCAGAGGAAUGAGCUGGUUAACGGUGCGACGUGGUCAGUGCACCUUUAGGUUGAAUCCCAGCCGUCUCAUUCAGACCUGGGACACCAAAUCAUGUAUCAAUUACAUGUCCCAAAAUGGCACCCUAUUCCCUAUAUAGUCCCCUACCUU